AUUGAACGCUGGCGGAAUGCUUUCACAUGCAAGUCGAACGGCAGCACGGACUUCGGUCUGGUGGCGAGUGGCGAACGGGUGAGUAAUGUAUCGGAACGUGCCCAGUCGUGGGGGAUAACGUAGUGAAAAUUACGCUAAUACCGCAUACGAUCUAUGGAUGAAAGCGGGGGAUCGCAAGACCUCGCGCGAUUGGAGCGGCCGAUAUCAGAUUAGGUAGUUGGUGGGGUAAAGGCCCACCAAGCCAACGAUCUGUAGCCGGUCUGAGAGGACGACCAGCCACACUGGAACUGAGACACGGUCCAGACUCCUACGGGAGGCAGCAGUGGGGAAUUUUGGACAAUGGGCGAAAGCCUGAUCCAGCCAUUCCGCGUGCAGGAUGAAGGCCCUCGGGUUGUAAACUGCUUUUGUACAGAACGAAAAGGUUUCUACUAAUACUAGGAGCUCAUGACGGUACUGUAAGAAUAAGCACCGGCUAACUACGUGCCAGCAGCCGCGGUAA
rnacentral:rRNA from 1 species